rnacentral:rRNA from 1 species
GACGAACGCUGGCGGCGUGCUUAACACAUGCAAGUCGAACGGAAAGGCCCUGCUUUUGUGGGGUGCUCGAGUGGCGAACGGGUGAGUAACACGUGAGUAACCUGCCCUUGACUUUGGGAUAACUUCAGGAAACUGGGGCUAAUACCGGAUAGGAGCUCCUGCUGCAUGGUGGGGGUUGGAAAGUUUCGGCGGUUGGGGAUGGACUCGCGGCUUAUCAGCUUGUUGGUGGGGUAGUGGCUUACCAAGGCUUUGACGGGUAGCCGGCAUGGGAGGGUGACCGGCCACAUUAGGACUGAGAUACGGACCAGACUCCUACGGGAGGCAACGGUGGGGAAUAUUACACAAUAGGCGGGAGCCAGAUGCAGCAACGCCGCGUGCGGGAUGACGGCCUUCUGGUUGUAAACCGCUUUGGCCUGUGACGAAGCGUGAGUGACGGUAAUGGAUAAAGAAGCACCGGCUAACUACGUG